rnacentral:ncRNA from 1 species
CCCUGACAGUUACAUAAUGUGACUGACACUUGCCACGACAGGAGAAUCUCAUG